GACGAACGCUGGCGGCGUGCUUAACACAUGCAAGUCGAACGAUGAUCUCCCGCUUGCGGGGGUGUUUAGUGGCGAACGGGUGAGUAAUACGUGAGUAACCUGCUCUUGACUCUGGGAUACGCCUGGGAAACCGGGUCUAAUACUGGAUACUACUUCCUGCCGCAUGGUGGGGGCUGGAGAGGUCUUUACUGGUUUUGAAUGUGCUUACGGCCUACCAGCUUGUUGGUGGAGUAAUGGCUCACCAAGGCGACGGGGUGUAGCCGGCCUGAGGGGUUGACCGGCGGCACUGAGACUGAGGCACGGCCCAGACUCCUACGGGAGGCAGCUGUGGGGAAGAUUGCACAAGGGGCGGAGGCCGGAUGCAGCGAGGCCGCGUGUGGGAUAACGGCCUUCGGGGUGUAAACCUGUAUCAGCAGGGAAGAAGCCACAAGUGACGGUACCUGCAGAAGAAGCGCCGGCUAACUACGUG
rnacentral:rRNA from 1 species